rfam:Stegodyphus mimosarum contig40610, whole genome shotgun sequence.
GCCUUCGUAGUGCAGUGGUCAGCACGCUCGACGUAUAUUCGAGAUGUCAGUGGUUCGAGUCCCGGCGAGGGCA